rnacentral:lncRNA from 1 species
GAACACUUUGAGUGACAGGCAAUUCACUAUCUUCUGAGGAUCUCCCAUUUAAGUUUUGGAUAGUGUCUAUGGUUAAACCUACUGGUGCCGGUUCUUGCCUUCCUGGCCUAAUGUGUAAAUCUGAUUUCUCUUCCAUUUGACAGACCCAGCUGAGUCAUUGCUUGAAUUGGCUAAAUCAUGCCAGGUUUGUCAGGCAUUUCUCAUUUGACUUGGAAUUGAGUGUUUCUGUAUACUGGUUGAAAACUUAAGGAUAUGCUUCUUUAAUGUGAAAACUGCUAUCAUCUCUCAAUGUAGAGAUUUGCCUUUACCAUGCAACCCAAGAAAUCCAGCUAUUGGAAUCCGUUGAUUCAAAGGAUUUUGGAACACAUGGACAACUGGCAUAACUGGAAUCUGGCACCUGUUAGGAUCACAGCAGGAAGAACUAGGGCAGGGUAAGUUACUGGGGAAAAUGAUUGCUGCCUGGGAGAAAAGAGCAUAGGAAGUAGAUCCUAGAAUGACGCUAGCUUUCAGGUAUCUGUGAACCCACAAGAAGAAGGCUGACAACAUUAUAACUUCUGGACUUAUCCUGCCAUUCAUUUAUUUGUUUCUCUCAUGAUUUGUAUCUUUUUAUAAUUUGGAACCCAUAAGGAGAAGAUUGACAUCAUUCCAAAUGAAUAUGUGAGAUGCCCCAGACCCUUAGAAGACUGAGAGGGAAAUGAAUGAGUCCUCCUGUUCCUGGAGGCCAGAAGAGUUUUGUGAAACUGCAGAGUGAAGAAGCUUGUUCCAGUGCUUUGGCAAGGAACAGGUAACCUGUGCCUCUAGACUGGAUGCCAAAGCUCUUCUGCUUUUCUUCCCAAUGAGAUUCUAACCAUUUAGGAAACUCCAACCUGUAGUUCCGAGAUCAUGACAUAGCAAGAAACAAAAACAACCUAUCUUCUGUUUCCCAGCAGCUAGAGAGAAGAUGAUCAGGCAGAAUAAUCAGGACACAUUUACAGCAAGUUAGCACAGCUGGUCGGGACAGAUGAAAAUACGAAAGAAUAAAAUUAAUAUUCAGAG